rnacentral:piRNA from 1 species
UCCCUCGUCCUGGAGGACCUACAGCCUAAU